rnacentral:rRNA from 2 species
GGUUAAGCGACUAAGCGUACACGGUGGAUGCCCUGGCAGUCAGAGGCGAUGAAGGGCGUGCUAAUCUGCGAUAAGCGCCGGUAAGGUGAUAUGAACCGUUAUAACCGGCGAUACCCGAAUGGGGAAACCCAGUGUGACUCGUCACACUAUCAUUAACUGAAUCCAUAGGUUAAUGAGGCGAACCGGGGGAACUGAAACAUCUAAGUACCCCGAGGAAAAGAAAUCAACCGAGAUUCCCCCAGUAGCGGCGAGCGAACGGGGAGGAGCCCAGAGCCUGAAUCAGCAUGUGUGUUAGUGGAAGCGUCUGGAAAGGCGCGCGAUACAGGGUGACAGCCCCGUACACAAAAGCGCAUGUGCUGUGAGCUCGAUGAGUAGGGCGGGACACGUGGUAUCCUGUCUGAAUAUGGGGGGACCAUCCUCCAAGGCUAAAUACUCCUGACUGACCGAUAGUGAACCAGUACCGUGAGGGAAAGGCGAAAAGAACCCCGGCGAGGGGAGUGAAAAAGAACCUGAAACCGUGUACGUACAAGCAGUGGGAGCACAGGUUUACCUGUGUGACUGCGUACCUUUUGUAUAAUGGGUCAGCGACUUAUAUUCUGUAGCAAGGUUAACCGAAUAGGGGAGCCGGAGGGAAACCGAGUCUUAAUUGGGCGUUAAGUUGCAGGGUAUAGACCCGAAACCCGGUGAUCUAGCCAUGGGCAGGUUGAAGGUUGGGUAACACUAACUGGAGGACCGAACCGACUAAUGUUGAAAAAUUAGCGGAUGACCUGUGGCUGGGGGUGAAAGGCCAAUCAAACCGGGAGAUAGCUGGUUCUCCCCGAAAGCUAUUUAGGUAGCGCCUCGUGAAUUCAUCUCCGGGGGUAGAGCACUGUUUCGGCUAGGGGGCCAUCCCGGCUUACCAACCCGAUGCAAACUGCGAAUACCGGAGAAUGUUAUCACGGGAGACACACGGCGGGUGCUAACGUCCGUCGUGAAGAGGGAAACAACCCAGACCGCCAGCUAAGGUCCCAAAGUCAUGGUUAAGUGGGAAACGAUGUGGGAAGGCCCAGACAGCCAGGAUGUUGGCUUAGAAGCAGCCAUCAUUUAAAGAAAGCGUAAUAGCUCACUGGUCGAGUCGGCCUGCGCGGAAGAUGUAACGGGGCUAAACCAUGCACCGAAGCUGCGGCAGCGAACGUAUCACUUAAAGCGAUUCAGCGGGUUACGAUUGACGGAGCGAAGCGACGUCAAAGCGUAUACAAAGUCGAGUCGGUUUAAGGAUACGUUCGUUGGGUAGGGGAGCGUUCUGUAAGCCUGUGAAGGUGGCCUGUGAGGGUUGCUGGAGGUAUCAGAAGUGCGAAUGCUGACAUAAGUAACGAUAAAGCGGGUGAAAAGCCCGCUCGCCGGAAGACCAAGGGUUCCUGUCCAACGUUAAUCGGGGCAGGGUGAGUCGACCCCUAAGGCGAGGCCGAAAGGCGUAGUCGAUGGGAAACGGGUUAAUAUUCCCGUACUUGGUGUUACUGCGAAGGGGGGACGGAGAAGGCUAUGUUGGCCGGGCGACGGUUGUCCCGGUUUAAGCGUGUAGGCUGGUUUUCCAGGCAAAUCCGGAAAAUCAAGGCUGAGGCGUGAUGACGAGGCACUACGGUGCUGAAGCAACAAAUGCCCUGCUUCCAGGAAAAGCCUCUAAGCAUCAGGUAACAUCAAAUCGUACCCCAAACCGACACAGGUGGUCAGGUAGAGAAUACCAAGGCGCUUGAGAGAACUCGGGUGAAGGAACUAGGCAAAAUGGUGCCGUAACUUCGGGAGAAGGCACGCUGACACGUAGGUGAAGUGAUUUACUCAUGGAGCUGAAGUCAGUCGAAGAUACCAGCUGGCUGCAACUGUUUAUUAAAAACACAGCACUGUGCAAACACGAAAGUGGACGUAUACGGUGUGACGCCUGCCCGGUGCCGGAAGGUUAAUUGAUGGGGUCAGCGCAAGCGAAGCUCCUGAUCGAAGCCCCGGUAAACGGCGGCCGUAACUAUAACGGUCCUAAGGUAGCGAAAUUCCUUGUCGGGUAAGUUCCGACCUGCACGAAUGGCGUAAUGAUGGCCAGGCUGUCUCCACCCGAGACUCAGUGAAAUUGAACUCGCUGUGAAGAUGCAGUGUACCCGCGGCAAGACGGAAAGACCCCGUGAACCUUUACUAUAGCUUGACACUGAACAUUGAGCCUUGAUGUGUAGGAUAGGUGGGAGGCUUUGAAGUGUGGACGCCAGUCUGCAUGGAGCCGACCUUGAAAUACCACCCUUUAAUGUUUGAUGUUCUAACGUGGACCCGUAAUCCGGGUUGCGGACAGUGUCUGGUGGGUAGUUUGACUGGGGCGGUCUCCUCCUAAAGAGUAACGGAGGAGCACGAAGGUUGGCUAAUCCUGGUCGGACAUCAGGAGGUUAGUGCAAUGGCAUAAGCCAGCUUGACUGCGAGCGUGACGGCGCGAGCAGGUGCGAAAGCAGGUCAUAGUGAUCCGGUGGUUCUGAAUGGAAGGGCCAUCGCUCAACGGAUAAAAGGUACUCCGGGGAUAACAGGCUGAUACCGCCCAAGAGUUCAUAUCGACGGCGGUGUUUGGCACCUCGAUGUCGGCUCAUCACAUCCUGGGGCUGAAGUAGGUCCCAAGGGUAUGGCUGUUCGCCAUUUAAAGUGGUACGCGAGCUGGGUUUAGAACGUCGUGAGACAGUUCGGUCCCUAUCUGCCGUGGGCGCUGGAGAACUGAGGGGGGCUGCUCCUAGUACGAGAGGACCGGAGUGGACGCAUCACUGGUGUUCGGGUUGUCAUGCCAAUGGCACUGCCCGGUAGCUAAAUGCGGAAGAGAUAAGUGCUGAAAGCAUCUAAGCACGAAACUUGCCCCGAGAUGAGUUCUCCCUGAGACUUAGAGUCUCCUGAAGGAACGUUGAAGACGACGACGUUGAUAGGCCGGGUGUGUAAGCGCAGCGAUGCGUUGAGCUAACCGGUACUAAUGAACCGUGAGGCUUAACCUU